rnacentral:rRNA from 1 species
CAGCCGCCGCGGUAAUACCGGCGGCCCGAGUGGUGGCCGCUAUUAUUGGGCCUAAAGCGUCCGUAGCCGGGCCCGUAAGUCCCUGGCGAAAUCCCACGGCUCAACCGUGGGGCUUGCUGGGGAUACUGCGGGCCUUGGGACCGGGAGAGGCGGGGGGUACCCCUGGGGGCGGGGGGGAAUCCUAUAAAUCCAGGGGGACCGCCAGUGGCGAAGGCGCCCCGCUGGAACGGGUCCGACGGUGAGGGACGAAGGCCAGGGGAGCAAACCGGAUUAGAUACCCGGGUAGUCCUGGCUGUAAAGGAUGCGGGCUAGGUGUCGGGUGAGCUUCGGGCUCGCCCGGUGCCGUAGGGAAGCCGUUAAGCCCGCCGCCUGGGGAGUACGGCCGCAAGGCUGAAACUUAAAGGAAUUGGCGGG